ACCAGCUUCAUCCUUCGAGUAUUCCACUCUCUCAUCCCACUGCUCCUACUUCCGCCUCCUCUAGCCUCAAAACUUCUGAAACAGUUUUAAUGGCCAUCCCAAAUUCUGACCAAAACAUCUCUCAGGCUUUCAUCCACAGGCAGGAAGUAUGGCUAGUGGCCAUACAAUCUGAUGUUCUUCAUUCUCCCCUCUGUCACUUGGUACUGCCCUCAGAGCAGAUGGAGCUGGAGAGGCCGCCUGAGUUCUACUUAGUCAAGCCAGCCCAUCAGUGCUUACACAGCUGUUCUACAGAACCCUGGAAAAGCAGCCAAAGUGAGGACACAAAGUUGUCCCCAGCCGUAUCCUGAGAAAUCUCCAAUCUUUCAACCCCUACUCACCCAAGCUUCAUGACUUCACCCCACCUCAGUAUCCAUGCCACUGUAAGUCUCCCCACCCAGGGGAAUGUUCCCCUGCCCCUCUUGUAGCCCUGCCC
rnacentral:lncRNA from 1 species